rnacentral:lncRNA from 1 species
UCAUAAAAACUACUUUAGCCCCAAAAGCUAAAAUUGAAAGUAGUAAAGGAGUUACUAUGCUCAUGGAAGCAAACCAAGAACAUAGCAACACCUUCGUCCCUAGAAUGAUUCGAUGGGAUGAGAUAUUAUCAAAAGAUGAAUGGCGUUUUGAAGCCAUAACUCAACAUAUGAACCAGAAAGUUCAUACAUCGAACAAGUUAUUCAACAUCCUACAGGAGCAGUAGACAUAAAUUUUUUAAGAUCUAACUCUUUAAGCAAAGCCUCUUCCAGUAGAAGAAUGUCCUUCAGCAGACCUUCUUCUUUCAAACCCCCUGAGGGAAAUAGUAAAAGUUGUAAAAGCGAUAAAAGCGAUGAAGAGUUAAUCGAAGAACUUGAUAGAAAAAUAAAAUGAGUAGAUUUUAACAAAACCGUUCCUAAUGUUAUCUAUCAAAAGGGUCCCUUCAUUCAUAAAAGUCCAUCCGCUGAAACAAUUGAUAGACUCGGAACCCUUAAAGAAGAAAAUAAUUUCAAAAUAGACUGGAAAAGUCUAAAUGCUCAGUGGGAACACCCUGAUAAUAACAUUAAAAGAUAAUGGUAUGUAUAUACCUAUUCUUUUGACCAAAGAAGAACUUUUAGAAAUAAAUGGAUUAAGGACUUAAAAAGACUUAGAUGUGAUAUUGAAUUCUUUAGAUGGUUCGAAUUAACAGGACAGAUUCCAAAUCAAAAGGAAUCUUUACAAAUGAUUAUCAAUAAAUGGUAUCCCAAAAAUAAAGGUAUAAUAGAGGCCACCAUUCCACCAUUAGAUGAAAUCAUAAUACCCGUUCAAAAUGAGGUAGUCACAGCUUCCCCUUUUAAAAGAGAAAGUACCUACCUUGACAAAGAACCAACAAACAAAUAUCUAAACAAAAUAAUUGUCCAAAAUAACUACAAAAAUAACCUUUUACAUGUUGUAUCUAAUCAGCUAAAAGAUACCAACAAGAUAGCAACCCCUACUAGAACGAUGGUAGCAUCCACAAUUGAAACACAUCCUACUAUCAAAAUCCCUGAAUUUUCUAAAGAAAAAUUCCCUCAAUUAAGAGAAAAAUUCGACUUUACAAAUGAACUUCUAGAAAAAAUAGAAGAACGCCUUAAAACAAAACUAAGUAUCUCAAAGCCUAAUACAGAACAAACUAGUACUAGCAAAGAUAAAACCGUUGAACUCCAUAAACUGCAAACACAGUUAACUUCAUUAAAUAACAAAUAUGAAAUUCUGUUAAAGGAAGAAACCAUCCCUGACAGGGAAACUAAACUAAAGAUGAUAGAACGAGCUUCUAAAGAGCUUGUAGAUUCUAUAAAUAAAUUAAAACCUUCACUUACUCUAAAAACUAUCUCUACCACUACUCCUGAAGUAAGUGGAUUAAUGAAUGAUCCUCGACACCCUAAUAGAAAGAAUUAUUACAAAAGAGCAUCAUUUCCAGACGUUCAAUUCGAAGAAGAUAUCUAUCUAUCCCACUCCAGUCACGAUGGAACUGGAAUUUCCAAAUGGAAUAUUGAUGGUUUAGCAGAAAGCCAAAUCUACAAAAAGCUUCACGAAAUAGGAAUUUCCAUAACAACAUACAAAAUAAAAAAUGCGUCAGAUAAACACGCAACAACCUUAAUAGUAUCGGACUAUACUAGUACAUUAAAAAAUUGGUGGGAUAAUUACCUUUCCGAAGAAAAUAGGAAUCAAGUCUUGAAUGCCAAAGCAAUAAUAAUUAUUGUAAAAACUGAAAAUAAUACUCAAAUAGCAGAGCAAGAAUCUAAAGAAGACGCUACUGCAACUUUAAUCUACUAUAUAGCCAAACAUUUUAUUGGUGAACCAAAAUUAUUUCAGGAUAGAAGUCUUGAACUUCUAAAUAAUCUUAGCUGCCCAAAAUUAACAGACUUUAGGUGGUAUAAAGAUAUGUUCAUAGAAAAGGUAAUGGUCAGAGAAGACUGCAAUAAACCUUUCUGGAAGGAAAGAUUUAUUAGUGGAUUACCCAGAUUAUUUGCCGAAAAGGUAAGAACUAAAAUUAGAGAUAGGUUUAAUGGUCAAAUUCCAUAUGACAAUUUUACGUAUGGAGACUUAAUAAGUUUUAUCAAUAUUACCGGUUUAGACUUAUGUACAGACCUAAAACUUAAAAGUCUUAUUAAAAAGGAUAGACUACAGUCCAAAGCUGAGCUUGGUAGUUUUUGCAAAGACUUCAUCUACAAACCAAUAGUCGCUCCAUAAAAAAGAGUGUCAAAGAAACACAGAUAUUCAGAUAAAUCUAAGGGAUGCCACAAGCGUAAAGAAAAGAAAGAAGGAGAAACUUCUAAAAGGAAAAAGUUUAAAAGAAAAUCGAAAAAGGAUUAUGGUGAAAAAUGCUUGUCUUGUGAAAAAACGGGACAUAGAGCCAAUGAGUGCAAAGUUACAAAAAAAAAAGAGUAAAGUAAAUACUCUUGAAAUUGAUGACAACACUAAAGAAAAACUUUACGCAAUUCUGGAAGAUAAUGAUAACAGUUCAUCAUCUUCAUCCACUGAUAGCUAUUCUGAUAGCGAUAAUGAAUUGAUUAAUAUCACAUAUGACUCAAACAGCAACAACUCAGUAGAGGACAGUUGUAACUGUACUGGCGCAAUUUGCGUAUGUAGUCAAAAUUCUCUUAGAGUAAUCACAGAAGACUCCAAAGAAGUCGUAUUCAACAUCAUCGAACACAUAGAUAAUGAUGAAUUAAGAAGAAAAUAUUUAACUGAGUUAAAAAACAUUAUCAUUAAACAAAAGGGAAAUCGACCACAGAUAGAACCUUUUGAUAUGAAAAAGGUAAUGAAUAGAUUCCUUGUAAAAACAGAAGAGCCUACUACUAUCCAAUAUCUUGAAAAAUCAGUAAAAGAAGAACUAAAAGAUAUUAAGCUUCGACUUAAUAAAAUUGAGAUGGAAAGUAUUACUGAUAAAAUAAACGAAAUAAUUCUUUUCAAAAGAAGAAAACGAUGAAGAAGAAGAUAAUAGCCCUUCACGAUUAAAGGACACCGAUUCUAUUAUCGAAGAAUCCGAAGGAAGUUCAGCUGCCUCAGUUAAAUUUACUAAAGUAAAGGCUACAAGCUAUCAUCUUCCUAUAACAUUGAAGGUUCAUGAUAUGACCCUUACUAAGUUAGCAUUAUUAGAUUCAGAUGCAGAUAAAAAAUGCAUAAUGGAAGUAAUAAUACCAAUAAAAUAUUUAGAAAAAAGUACACAAAAAUUAUACUCUGCUAUUGGAAAGUUAUUAAAAAUAAAUUACAAAUUAUCAAAAGCACAUAUCUACAAUGACUGAAUAUACUUUAUUAAUGACUUUGUAGUAACAAGAGACGUUAAUGAAGAGAUAAUUCUAGGAUUUUCUUUCCUGACUCAAAUAAAACCACAUUACGACGACUUAAGUGCACUUUGCAUCAUAGUGUUAGGCAAAGAAAUAAGAUUUCCUUAUCUAAAUCCCAUCUCUAAAGAAGAAAGUGAUUAUUUUAAGUCACAAACAAUUUUUAAAAUAAAUUUGUUAACUCAGCAAGUUAAUUAUUUAAAGAAUGACAUCAAAGUUCACAAAAUAGAACAAACUUAAAAAAACCCCGAGGUAGAAGAUAAGAUUAAACAGUUUCAACAAAAACUCGAACUAGAAGUUUGUUCCAAUUUGCCUACUGCCUUUUGGGAACGGAAAAGGCAUAUAGUCAACCUACCUUAUAUUAAAGAAUUUAAUGAACAGGCUAUACCUACUAAGGCAAGACCUAUUCAAAUGAAUUAUGAUUUAAUGGAAGUUUGUAACAAGGAAAUAAAUGAUUUUCUCCAAAAGAAGAUUAUUAGACCUUCCAAGUCACCUUGGAGCUGUGUAGCCUUCUACGUUAACAAUAACGCAGAAAAGGAAAGAGGAGCACCCAGAUUAGUUAUUAAUUAACCAUUAAAUAAAGUAUUACAAUGGAUUAGGUAUCCGAUACCUACUAAAAGAGAUUUAUUAAAAAGAACUUACAAAGCUAAUAUUUACAGUAAAUUUGAUAUGAAAUCAGGUUUCUGGCAAAUUCAAAUUACUGAAGAAGAUAAAUAUAAAACUGCUUUCAAUGUUCCAUUUAGAUAAUAUGAAUGUAAUGUAAUGCCUUUCGGAUUAAAAAAUUCCCCAUCUGAAUUUCAGAAUAUUAUGAAUAAUAUAUUCAACCAUUAUAGUAAUAUGUCAAUAGUUUAUAUUGACGAUGUAUUAAUAUUUUCAGAAGAUAUAGAUUCUCACUUUAAACAUCUCAAUACUUUAUUUAAGAUAGUAAAACACAAUGGCCUAGUAGUCAGUGCUAAAAAGAUCAAGUUUUUCCAAACUACUAUUAGAUUUUUAGGGCAUGACCUUUAUCAAGGUACUUACAAACCAAUCUGUAGAGCCAUUGAGUUCUCGUCCAAAUUUCCCGAUAAAAUCAUAGACAAAACACAACUACAAAUGUUUUUAGGUAGUCUCAAUUAUGUAGCAUAUUUUAUUCCUAACAUCAGAAAAAUUUGUGAACCCCUUUAUAAACGCCUUAGGAAGAAUCCAGUCCCUUGGGGUCUAGAACAAACUGACACAGUCAAAAGGGUCAAGUCCAUUGUUCAAAAACUCCCAUGUCUAGGCAUUCCAAAUCCUGAAGCAUUUAUGAUAGUAGAAACUGACGCUUCAAAAGAAGGGUACGAUGGAAUCCUUAAACAACGAAUCUCCCCAGAGUCUCCGAAACAGUUAGUUCGUUUCACUUUUGGUAUCUGGAAUUCGGCUUAGAAAAAUUAUAGUACAGUCAACAUGAGGAUAUAAAGAGGAUGAACAAUAAACAUAUACUGGAAUGAACAGUAUAGAGCAAUUAAGAUCUAUAGCAUGAAAUUGAUAACAAGAUUUCAACAAACCUUAAAGACAAUUGAGAGUUUUAGCUUCUCAUGUUUGGCUCUAAUACCAAUUAAGCGGAUAUGAAGUAUAUAAUUGAAAAGGAGGAAAUGAAAGUAAAUUAGUGACAUGUUUUAAGAAACUUACUUUUAUUUGAACAUCAAGAACAUGCAGAACAAGGGGAUUUUUACAACAAAGGGAGGGAAAACAUAAGAAAGAAAAUGAGCGAUU